rnacentral:rRNA from 1 species
AUUGAACGCUGGCGGCAGGCCUAACACAUGCAAGUCGGACGGUAGCACAGAGAGCUUGCUCUUGGGUGACGAGUGGCGGACGGGUGAGUAAUGUCUGGGGAUCUGCCCGAUAGAGGGGGAUAACCACUGGAAACGGUGGCUAAAACCGCAUAACGUCGCAAGACCAAAGAGGGGGACCUUCGGGCCUCUCACUAUCGGAUGAACCCAGAUGGGAUUAGCUAGUAGGCGGGGUAAUGGCCCACCUAGGCGACGAUCCCUAGCUGGUCUGAGAGGAUGACCAGCCACACUGGAACUGAGACACGGUCCAGACUCCUACGGGAGGCAGCAGUGGGGAAUAUUGCACAAUGGGCGCAAGCCUGAUGCAGCCAUGCCGCGUGUAUGAAGAAGGCCUUCGGGUUGUAAAGUACUUUCAGCGGGGAGGAAGGCGGUGAGGUUAAUAACCUUGCCGAUUGACGUUACCCGCGGAAGAAGCACCGGCUAACUCCGUGCCAGCCGCCGCGGUAA